UUUCAUUGUGAUCAGAAUAAGGAUUAGUAUCCAGUGGUGCGAGAUGGGCCAGGCCCACUUGGAAAGAGUUGUAUUGGAUAAUCCAGGGCAGCUUUUUCUCAUGAGAGGAGUGAAUGCUUAUCAGAGAGUGGCAGGUGGAUUUCUAUCUUCAGCAUAACUCUGAUUCCUUUUCGUGCACCAUUCUUCCGUCAAACGUCCUAUAUCCAAAUUCGGCAAAGCUUCAUGGAAAGUAUCGUUGAUAGCCAAAGUAGCCGUUAAUGGUGGUGUUACGGCGAUAGGCGACGAACUGUAGAGGUUUUUCGGCAGAUCGACAGAGUCUUCACUUGCUGAUUGUCUAAACGAUUCUUGAUCAACUGAUUCAUUUGAUGAUAAUGUUUUCACCCCCAAUCAGUGAUUAAGUCAAAAACUGGGGAUAAUCAUUCCCUAUUUUGGUUGAUAGAUUGUUGUAUAUCUUCAUCACCUUCGCAAGUCAUAAGUACUGCAUUAUCUCUCAGGUAUCUGAAUUGUAUGUAACUCGUGUUGUUUAGUAUGAAACUGUCCUUUAAACUUUCUAGAGAGAUUGAAUUCUGGACCCAACAAUGCAACUUCUUUCAAGCCACUCAGGUUUGUCUGACUUUACUUGAAUAUUCAUCCCUUCCUACUGCUAUCAAGAUUUUUGGAUUUGCUCCUUCCUUUCAAUGCUUUAGGGUACGUUGUUCGCUCUUUUCCCUCCAAAUCUGCUUGGGUUUCAAGUUGUUUCUUUUCCUUUGACUUUCGAUAUCAUUGAGUCAUCUACCACCGGUCUUCAUCCUUCCUUCUUGCACAAGCAUGGUUGUGUUGCUACGCCGAUAUCUUGGCUUGUUGAGAUAAAGUUUCUGGUUUCUGAUUAUUAUACUGUCCAGUUGCCUUUCAAAAGCUUGAGGUGGGAAGUGAGAGAAGAAGGAGACAGAGGAGGUUGCUCUCACCAUGCGAUAAAUUCCUGUCUAGUGCUUGCACAUCUUUUCUUGUUCUUGAUUUUAUUCAGAUACAUAGAAAUGAUAUCCUGUGUGUUAUGGAAGUUUAAGUCCUGGAGUAAAUGGCUUAAUCGGAUUUCAUUCUUACAAAAUUAACGUAAUUCAAUUUCUCAUAUAUCAUUAUUUAUAUUUUUAUUUUUCC
rnacentral:lncRNA from 1 species